rnacentral:lncRNA from 1 species
GUAUAAACCUCUUCGGGCUCGUUUUGUUUGGGGCUCUCUGUGAUUCUGGGACCUGGUGUCUGUUUCCUUCCCCAGAGAAGCUAGAGAUGCAAGCACAGGCAUGACAUCCACUUUGCAGCAUCAUAAGUCAGGCUGCAGGCUCUGUUUUACUCCAGGAAAGAUAAACCGGCUUUGCUGUGAUUUUUGAGGGCCUGGCUAAUUGGGUCUUCACUGUCAGCCAGAU